rnacentral:rRNA from 1 species
AGGUGCUGCAUGGCUGUCGACAGCUCGUGUCGUGAGAUGUUGGGUUAAGUCCCGCAACGAGCGCAACCCUUGCCUUUAGUUGCCAGCAUUUAGUUGGGCACUCUAGAGGGACUGCCGGUGAAAAACCGGAGGAAGGUGGGGAUGACGUCAAGUCCUCAUGGCCUUUAUGUCCAGGGCUACACACGUGCUACAAUGGGCGGUACAGAGAGUCGCAAACCCGCGAGGGGGAGCUAAUCUCAAAUAGCCGUCCUCAGUUCGGAUUGGAGUCUGCAACUCGACUCCAUGAAGUUGGAAUCGCUAGUAAUCGCGGAUCAGCAUGCCGCGGUGAAUACGUUCCCGGGCCUUGUACACACCGCCCGUCACA